rnacentral:lncRNA from 1 species
GCCUACGUGCACCUUAUCACCAAUUAUGCUUUCCUUUCUAUGUAAAAGUUGCUAGACUUAGGGGGAGAUUGUUAGUUAAGUCUAGUAGCUCUAUUAGCUUUUAUUUUUAUUUUACCCCUUUGCUUAGCCACCAAGCUACCUCUUGGUUGGCAGCCUGUAUAUGUACCAAAAUUGGACUAUUGCUCUUGGGUUAAUAAGAAAGUGAUCCAUUUAGGCUAACAAAGAAUACUCACUAUGCUG